UACGGAGGGUGCAAGCGUUAUCCGGAUUCACUGGGUUUAAAGGGUGUGUAGGCGGGCUAUUAAGUCAGUGGUGAAAUCUCCGGGCUCAACCCGGAAACUGCCAUUGAUACUAUUAGUCUUGAAUAUUGUUGAGGUAGGCGGAAUAUAUCAUGUAGCGGUGAAAUGCAUAGAUAUGACAUAGAACACCUAUUGCGAAGGCAGCUAACUACGCGAAUAUUGACGCUGAGGCACGAAAGCGUGGGGAUCAAACAGG
rnacentral:rRNA from 1 species